rnacentral:rRNA from 1 species
GUAGGUGGCAAGCGUUGUCCGGAAUUAUUGGGCGUAAAGCGCGCGCAGGCGGUCCUUUAAGUCUGAUGUGAAAGCCCACGGCUCAACCGUGGAGGGUCAUUGGAAACUGGGGGACUUGAGUACAGAAGAGGAAAGCGGAAUUCCAAGUGUAGCGGUGAAAUGCGUAGAGAUUUGGAGGAACACCAGUGGCGAAGGCGGCUUUCUGGUCUGUAACUGACGCUGAGGCGCGAAAGCGUGGGGAGCGAACAGGGAUUAGAUACCCUGGUAGUCCACGCCGUAAACGAUGAGUGCUAAGUGUUAGGGGGUUUCCCGCCCCUUAGUGCUGCAGCUAACGCAUUAAGCACUCCGCCUGGGGAGUACGGCCGCAAGGCUG